UAUUAUAAUAUGAGUAACACCUCAAAUAACGACAGUAUAUUCAACAAAGUUAGUACUAUGUUUAAUUCGAAUAAAAACAAAAUAAACGACAAUAACAACCAUGUAUAUAUGGGAAAAGUAAAUAAUAGUAGCACUUAUUUAAAUAAAUAUGAUAAUACUAAUAUUGAUUCUAUUAAUGAUAUGUUUGGUAAUAGUAUUAUAAAUAAUAGUACUGAUAAUGUAUAUAUAAAUGGCAACGAUAACAACAAUAACAUCAAUAACAACAAUAAUAACAAUAAUAGUGAUAAAAAUAUAAACAAAAAUAAUAUUACCAAUGUGUAUAUAACUGAUAAUAAUGGUUUUAUAAAUAACACAUUAACUUAUGAUACCAAUAAUGUUCUUUAUAAUGAAAAAACAAAUAAUAUAAAUAAAUUAACUAAUCAAGAUAGUAUACCUAACCAAAGUUUCGAAAAUGUAGUAUCUAGUAAAAAAAUAAAAUUUUUGGAUAGUAGUACCCCUACUGAUAGAUUUAUAAAAUGUAACAUGGACUCAGAUUCUAAUUCGAAUAUUAACUCAAAUUUUAACUCAAAUUUUAACUCAAAUUUUAACUCAAAUGUUGGGAAAUAUCUUAACUACAAUAUUGAUGAUGUGAGUACAAACAAAUACGUAAGUAAUAUUUCUACAAACAUAAUGAAUAAAAAUAUGAUUAAAAAUAUGAACAAUAACAGAAAAACGGAAAAUUAUAUAAAUAACAGUGGUAUAAAUAACAGUGGUAUAAAUAGCAGUGGUAUAAAUAGCAGUGACAUAAUAAGUAGCGACAUAAUAAGUAGCGACAUAAUAAGUAGCGACAUAGUUAGUAGUGAUAUAUAUAAUAACAAUAUUUCUAGUAGCUUGAAUAGAAACCUUGAUAUGAUGGAUAAAUUAUUCGCAACAAAUAACAAUACAUAUGCACAUAAUAUCUCUGAUAAGAUGGGUUAUGUGUUGGGUAAAACAAAUAAUAACAUAUAUAUAUAUUCAGGUUUAAAUAAUAAUAAUACUAAUAAUAAUAAUAGUAGUAGUAAUAAUAAUAAGGAUAUUGACCGUGACUGUAGUAAUAAAAAUAUUACAUCCCACGGUUUUGGUUUAGGUGCAAAAAGCAAAACUAUACACAUCCAUAAUGGCUCUCAUAAGAAUGAUGAUAAAAUUUGUAACAAUAUUGCUAGUAACAAUAUUG
ensembl:lncRNA